rfam:Cucumis melo, WGS project CAJI01000000 data, contig: 12559
GUGCUUCAAGGAUGAACGAAGUCUCCCACAUUGGUGUCCAUCUUUUUCACUGUCAGCUUUGUCUUUCAUGUCUUGCUGAUCACUGUUGGAUGGAAGAUCU